rnacentral:rRNA from 1 species
UACGUAGGGCGCAAGCGUUAUCCGGAAUUAUUGGGCGUAAAGAGCUCGUAGGCGGUUUGUCGCGUCUGCCGUGAAAAUCCGGGGCUCAACCCCGGACUUGCAGUGGGUACGGGCAGACUAGAGUGUGGUAGGGGGAGACUGGAAUUCCUGGUGUAGCGGUGAAAUGCGCAGAUAUCAGGAGGAACACCGAUGGCGAAGGCAGGUCUCUGGGCCGUUACUGACGCUGAGGAGCGAAAGCGUGGGGAGCGAACAGG